rnacentral:rRNA from 1 species
UACGUAGGGAGCAAGCGUUGUCCGGAUUUAUUGGGCGUAAAGAGCGUGUAGGCGGCCAGGUAGGUCUGCUGUGAAAACUCGAGGCUUAACCUCGAGAUGUCGGCGGAAACCAUCUGGCUAGAGUCCGGAAGAGGAGAGUGGAAUUCCUGGUGUAGCGGUGAAAUGCGCAGAUAUCAGGAAGAACACCCGUGGCGAAGGCGGCUCUCUGGGACGGUACUGACGCUGAGACGCGAAAGCGUGGGGAGCGAACAGG